rnacentral:rRNA from 1 species
CAGCCGCCACGGUAAUACGUAGGUGGCAAGCGUUGUCCGGAAUUAUUGGGUGCAAAGGGAGCGUAGACGGAAUGGCGAGUCUGAAGUGAAAUGCCCGGGCUCAACCCGGGAACUGCUUUGGAAACUGUCGAUCUGGAGUGUUGGAGAGGAGAGUGGAAUUCCACGUGUAGCGGUGAAAUGCGUAGAGAUGUGGAGGAACACCAGUGGCGAAGGCGACUCUCUGGUCUGUAACUGACGCUGAGGAGCGAAAGCGUGGGGAGCGAACAGGAUUAGAUACCCGCGUAGUCCCUGUCUCUUAUAC